rnacentral:rRNA from 1 species
UAGGGAAUCUUCCGCAAUGGGCGAAAGCCUGACGGAGCAACGCCGCGUGAGUGAUGAAGGUCUUCGGAUCGUAAAACUCUGUUAUUAGGGAAGAACAAAUGUGUAAGUAACUAUGCACGUCUUGACGGUACCUAAUCAGAAAGCCACGGCUAACUACGUGCCAGCAGCCGCGGUAAUACGUAGGUGGCAAGCGUUAUCCGGAAUUAUUGGGCGUAAAGCGCGCGUAGGGGGUUUUUUAAGUCUGAUGUGAAAGCCCACGGCUCAACCGUGGAGGGUCAUUGGAAACUGGAAAACUUGAGUGCAGAAGAGGAAAGUGGAAUUCCAUGUGUAGCGGUGAAAUGCGCAGAGAUAUGGAGGAACACCAGUGGCGAAGGCGACUUUCUGGUCUGUAACUGACGCUGAUGUGCGAAAGCGUGGGGAUCAAACAGG